rnacentral:rRNA from 1 species
GUGACCGGAUGCCGAUCUCGAAAACCUGUCCCAGUUCGGACUGGAGUCUGCAACCCGACUCCACGAAGUUGGAUUCGCUAGUAAUCGCGCAUCAGCCAUGGCGCGGUGAAUACGUUCCCGGGCCUUGUACACACCGCCCGUCAAGCCAUGGGAGCCGGGGGCGCCUGAAGUCCGGGACCGCGAGGACCGGCCUAAGGCGAAACUGGUGACUGGGGCUAAGUCGUAACAAGGUAUC